AUUUCAUUUUAACCAAAAAA
rnacentral:miRNA from 1 species